CUGUUCAAUCUGACAGCACAUAUAUUAAAAUUUAACAAUACAGAGAUCAACAUUGUCCCCCAUGCAGGGAUGACAUGCAAAUCUGUGAAGAGUUCCAUAUGUUA
rnacentral:snRNA from 1 species